rnacentral:rRNA from 1 species
UACGAAGGGGGCUAGCGUUGUUCGGAAUUACUGGGCGUAAAGCGCGCGCAGGCGGUCUUCCAAGUCAGUGGUGAAAGCCCGGAGCUCAACUCCGGAACUGCCAUUGAAACUGUUAGACUUGAGGAUGAGAGAGGUGAGUGGAAUUCCCAGUGUAGAGGUGAAAAUUCGUAGAUAUUGGGAAGAACACCGGUGGCGAAGGCGGCUCACUGGCUCAUUACUGACGCUCAGGCGCGAUAGCGUGGGGAUCAAACAGG